CGAACCGACUUUGCCAACGUGUUUCGUUACCUAUCAAUUAGGUUUACGAAGGGUCAAAUGAGAUCAAACUCAUCUAUUUGCAAAAACCCCAUUUGGAUGCCCUAGAAUGCCAUCACUAGCAAAUCCACCAAAUCGAUCUAUGAUUUGGGUAUAAUCCAUCAAAAUAGCAUGCUAGGGUUCCAAACAAACCAUUUCUAGGGUUUAAAAACCCAUCUACAAAGAUCUACCAUGAGAGGGCUUGGAAGCUUACCUCUCCAAGAGCUCCAAGGUGAAGAAGAUGAAGAUGAAGAUGAGGAAGAGGAUCUCCUCCUUGGUCCUCUUCUUCUUUUCCUUUCCUUUCUCUUUUUCUUCUUCUCUUUUCCUUUCUCUUUUCUCCUUUCUUUCUUUCUUCCCUUGCACGAUCGGAGGGAGAGAGAGGAAGACUGAGGGAGUGAGAGAGAGAGGAAAAGGUCUCUCUCUCUAAUACCCUCUCUCAUUUUGUAACAAUAUCCCCAAACGCCCCUCCACUUUUUAUCUCUUACAUAGCUUUUACUGGGCGUUCUGCGCGCUGAGGGACCGGUCUCCCCGACCAGGGACCGGUCCCCGAGAGCUCUCCCCGAUUCCACGCGUUCGGGAACCGGUCUCUCCCUGAGAGACCGGUCCUCGGGAGACCGGUCUGCCCACCAGAGACCGGUCCCCGAGAGCUCAUCUCGCGGGACUUAGCCAAUUUCUGGCUCUUCUCACUGGUGUCGCAGCCUGGGACCGGUCCCUCCUCUGCCAGGGACCGGUUGCAUCAGCAACCCCCGCAGCCUUCAGCUGAUGGGACCGGUCUCUCACUUCCAGAGACCGGUCCCCGAGAGCAACUUCAGCCCAAAAAUGCAGAUUGCAUU
rnacentral:lncRNA from 1 species